UGGGGGAUUUUGGACAAUGGGCGAAAGCCUGAUCCAGCAAUGCCGCGUGUGUGAAGAAGGCCUUCGGGUUGUAAAGCACUUUUGUCCGGAAAGAAAUCCUUGGCUCUAAUACAGUCGGGGGAUGACGGUACCGGAAGAAUAAGCACCGGCUAACUACGUGCCAGCAGCCGCGGUAAUACGUAGGGUGCAAGCGUUAAUCGGAAUUACUGGGCGUAAAGCGUGCGCAGGCGGUUUGCUAAGACCGAUGUGAAAUCCCCGGGGCUCAACCUGGGAACUGCAUUGGUGACUGGCAGGCUAGAGUAUGGCAGAGGGGGGUAGAAUUCCACGUGUAGCAGUGAAAUGCGUAGAGAUGUGGAGGAAUACCGAUGGCGAAGGCAGCCCCCCUGGCCAAUACUGACGCUCAUGCACGAAAGCGUGGGGAGCAAACAGGAUUAGAUACCCUGGUAGUCCACGCCCUAAACGAUGUCAACUAGUUGUUGGGGAUUCAUUUCCUUAGU
rnacentral:rRNA from 1 species